UCAUAUGUACAUGCCUACAAUGUUAAUGCACCGGAUCCCAUUAUAUCUGUACAGUUAAGCGCAUUUAGGAUAUAAUAGUACUGGGAUGGCUGACCUCCAGAGAAGUCUUAGUGUUUUACAUGCC
rnacentral:rRNA from 1 species